CGUGUUUAAUGUCCAAAACAAAUUCUACUUCAAUACACAUCAAAAUCACUGUACUGUCCGAAUGACGCUUAAUUUUUAACUCAAUUAAUAUCAUUUAUGUGUUGUAACUGCUGGCAAGUUUAUAGUAAUUCCUGUCAGAAAGCUGAAUCAAAACUUGUCGUACUAGUCAACAUGAUUAGACCUGGCAUAAACAAUCUUCAAAAUUGAUCUUAUAUGUAGAUAUAGGUAUAUGUAAAUAUCUUCAUAACAUCAUAGUAGUCUAGAGUUUCCUUGCUGUUGUGGAA
rnacentral:lncRNA from 1 species